AUUGAACGCUGGCGGCAUGCCUUACACAUGCAAGUCGAACGGUAACGCGGGGCAACCUGGCGACGAGUGGCGAACGGGUGAGUAAUGCAUCGGAACGUGCCCAGUAGUGGAGGAUAGCCCGGCGAAAGCCGGAUUAAUACCGCAUACGACCUAAGGGUGAAAGCGGGGGAUCGCAAGACCUCGCGCUAUUGGAGCGGCCGAUGUCGGAUUAGCUAGGUGGUGGGGUAAAGGCCUACCAAGGCAACGAUCCGUAGCUGGUCUGAGAGGACGACCAGCCACACGGGGACUGAGACACGGCCCAGACUCCUACGGGAGGCAGCAGUGGGGAAUUUUGGACAAUGGGCGCAAGCCUGAUCCAGCCAUGCCGCGUGCGGGAAGAAGGCCUUCGGGUUGUAAACCGCUUUUGUCAGGGAAGAAACGGUCUGAGUUAAUACCUCGGGCUAAUGACGGUACCUGAAGAAUAAGCACCGGCUAACUACGUGCCAGCAGCCGCCGUAAUAC
rnacentral:rRNA from 1 species